GGGGGUAUAGUUCAAUUGGCAGAAUGUCGGUCUCCAAAACCGAAGGUUCGAGGUUCGAGACCUCGUGCCCCCGCCA
rnacentral:tRNA from 4 species